AUGCUACUGACCACUAGUGGAAGAGCCACAAUGCAAUAUGACAAAGACAGUUUUCCUUCAAAAAUGAAAUAUGGAAAUGCUGUAACGAGUAAAGUUGAGACAAUGACAAGUCCCUUUCGAACACGGCCAGCAUGGCUUCCAACAAUUGACAUUUUUAUAGUCAUUAGGUAUUAUGAGUGUUUCUUAACCUGA